UACGUAGGGCGCAAGCGUUAUCCGGAAUUAUUGGGCGUAAAGAGCUCGUUGGCGGUUUGUCGCGUCUGCCGUGAAAGUCCGGGGCUCAACUCCGGAUCUGCGGUGGGUACGGGCAGACUAGAGUGAUGUAGGGGAGACUGGAAUUCCUGGUGUAGCGGUGAAAUGCGCAGAUAUCAGGAGGAACACCGAUGGCGAAGGCAGGUCUCUGGGCAUUAACUGACGCUGAGGAGCGAAAGCAUGGGGAGCAAACAGG
rnacentral:rRNA from 1 species